AAGUCGUAACAAGGUUUCCGUAGGUGAACCUGCGGAAGGAUCAUUAAUGAAUGAAUGUAGAGUUGGUUGUAGCUGGCCUCCCCGAGGCAUGUGCACACUUUCUCUUUCAUCCACACACCCCUGUGCACUCGUGAGACGGAGGCGUUUUCCUUUAAUCGGGAUGGUCUCCGUCUACUAUCACAUAAAAUCUAAUUUAAUUAAAACCGAAUGUAAUUGAUGUAACGCAUCUAAUACAAAGUUUCAACAACGGAUCUCUUGGCUCUC
rnacentral:misc_RNA from 1 species